rnacentral:misc_RNA from 1 species
AAGUCGUAACAAGGUUUCCGUAGGUGAACCUGCGGAAGGAUCACUAAAGUAAACGCCCUCCGGGGCUCUCUUUAUUCACACACCCCUGUGCACUUUGGCCACCUGCCGCGCUUCACUGCGUUAGUAGGUGUGUCUUUAUAAUUAUACCCAUAUACACAAGUCAUUGAAUGUAAAAUCGUUAUAAACUAAUAUAACUUUCAACAACGGAUCUCUUGGUUCUCGAAUCGAU